rnacentral:rRNA from 1 species
AAUCAACGCUGGCGGCGCGCUUAACACAUGCAAGUCGAGCGAGAAAGGGGAGCAAUCCCUGAGUACAGCGGCGUACGGGUGAGUAACACGUGGGUGAUCUACCUUCUAGUGUGGAAUAACCCGUGGGGAAACCGGGCUAAUACCGCAUAAGCCUGUGAAAGGGAAAGCAGCAAUGCGCUGGAAGAGGAGCCCGCGGCCGAUUAGCUAGUUGGUGAGGUAACGCCCACCAAGGCGAUGAUCGGUAGCCGGCCUGAGAGGGCACACGGCCACACUGGCACUGAAACACGGGCCAGACUCCUACGGGAGGCAGCA